GGGAGGUAUGCAACGACCCAUGCAGUCCCCUGAGUCUUCAAAUACUGCCAUUAACAUCCAGCCAUAUGUUGUUACACACAGACACACAGACCCCGUCUGGAGUUACAGGCACUUCCUCUCUGCAGCUCAGUCAACUGAAAAUACUAUCCAUCCCCUCCUAACCACGCACUGCAAACACCUAGAAGCACAGACUGUCUGGAAUCACAGCCACUUCCUCUCUGCAGCUCAGUCAACUGAAAACACCAUCCAUCCCCUCCUAACCACGCACUGCAAACACCUAGAAGCACAGACUGUCUGGAAUCACAGCCACUUCCUCUCUGCAGCUCAGUCAACUGAAAACACCAUCCAUCCCCUCCUAACCACGCACUGCAAACACCUAGAAGCACAGACUGUCUGGAAUCACAGGCACUUCCUCUCUGCAGCUCAGGCAACUGAAAACACCAUCCAUCCCCUCCUAAUCACGCACUGCAAACACUUAGAAGCACAGACUGUCUGAAUUAUGCUGAACCUUUCCCACUAUGUAUACCAGGUUAACUGAGGGACAGACAGUGUGGUGAAGAAGGAGCAACAGCACCUCUUUAAUCUCAGGAGGCUGAAGAAAUUCAGCUCGGCCCCUAACUUCUACAGAUGCACCAUUGAGAGCAUCGUGUCGUGCUGUAUCACCGCCUGGUAUGGCAAUCGCACCGUCCACAAACGCAGGAGACAUGUGAGAUGGUGCGGUCAGCCUAACGCAUCACCGGGGGGCACACUGCCUGCCCUCCAGGACAACUACAGCCCCCGGUGUCACAGGAAGGCCAAGGAUAUCAUUAAGGACCUCAGCCACCCGAUCCAAGACCUGUUCACCCAAAUAUCAUCUAGAUGGCGAGAACCGGGUGCGAUGUGGGGACAGAUCCCAGCUGUAGAUAUGUGAUUGGGAACAGCAGGAGUAGUGGAGCACCUGUGUUCAGCAGCUGCUAGUCCUGAAGCACAUUCUGACCACACAGUGGAUUGACUGUUGCAACCGUAACACACACACACACACACACACACACACAAACCCACCCACACCCGCACAAAAAC